UCUGCUUUUCCCUUAUAAAUGGCCACAAAGAGUCACAAUUGUUAGACAUUAAGAUUGGAAUGCCAUAAAAAAUCAGUUCCAGCAGAGCCAACAAUGCUAUUAAUUACAUUUGUCAGCAGUUUGAUUUUCAUGGAGACCAGGCGGGUAAUGCAGAUUUUCCAAAAAGUGUGCUCAGGCUUUGGAAUGAAUGGGAGGUCGUGCGACAGUUCUACUAAGCCUCUUCCUAUCCGAAGAAAGCACACAGUUAAACCCUGGAUCAGAAUCCUUGUUUGGUUUAAUACUCGUCAGCAGAUUGAGUGGCAGCUGUUUCACUGGGUACCCUCUCCAACAGCCAAGGAGAUUUAGGGGUAUCCUCUCCAACAGCCAAGGGGAUUUAGGCAUAAUUUGAUAAUUGCUUUCUAAAAGAGUUGUAAAAAAUAGUUUUUAAAAACUAUUUUUUAAUAUUUUUUAGAGCAAAAAUUUAUUCAAGAACUUGAAAUGUUUUUAAUUUAUUUUUAAUAUUUUUAAAUAUGUUUUAAAAAUAAAUUUUAUAUUUAAUGUUUUAUUUCUAAUCAUUUUACGUGUUCUUAUAUUUAUUUUUUAAAAGAGCUUUUAGAAAAUAAGUGAAAACAAUUAAUUUUUUUUUAUAUAUAUAAAACACUAUAUUUAUGUUUUUAAUAAUAGAAAAAAAAUUAUUUUCUGAUUAUCAAACGUGUUUUUAUGAAUUUUAUUUUUUUUUUAGAAUAGAAAACUGUUAUUGAAAAUAGUUGCCAAUAAGACCUUACCUUGUAAAUCUCUGGAUCUAAGCUAUAUGCUAAUGGUGUUAUGGACACCAUUCCUUAAUUCAGAGGCUCCUUACUUCCAUCUCCUAGAUAUCUUAAAUUCGUGCAAGAGUGAUUUUUUUUUUUUUUUUUUUUUUGAGAACAAAAAAUUGUUAUCGAAAAUAGUUGCGAAACAAAGCCUUACCUUAUAAAUCUCUAAAUUUAAUCUAUAUGUUUUGGGAACCAUUCCUUGCUUCAGGGGCUCCUUACUUCCAUGUCCUAAUUAUCUCAAAUUCAUGCAAGAAUAUAGGUAACUUAAAGUUCAAAAUCAAAGGGCGACAUUCCUCACCAUCUUAAAAUCUUUUAGAAUAAGUGCAAAGCUAUGUUUGGUAUGUGGAAAUAAAUAUUUUGUUUUCACUUCUAUUUUUUCUUGAAUAGGUAUGAAUUUGGUGAUUUUAA